rnacentral:rRNA from 1 species
GUACGCUAUUCAGAGUUUGAUCCUGGCUCAGGAUGAACGCUGGCGGCGUGCAUAACACAUUCAAGUCGAACGGACGAAGCCCUUCGGGGCCUAGUUAGUGGCGGACGGGUGAGUAACGCGUGAGCAACCUGCCCUUGUGUGGGGGAUAACGUUUGGAAACGAACGCUAAUACCGCAUAAUGUAUCAGAGGAAGCAUGCCUUUGAUACCAAAGAUUUAUUGCGCAAGGAUGGGCUCGCGUUGGAUUAGAUAGUUGGUGAGGUAACGGCUCACCAAGUCGACGAUCCAUAGCCGGACUGAGAGGUUGAACGGCCACAUUGGAACUGAGAAACGGUCCAG